rnacentral:misc_RNA from 1 species
AACGCAAGUUGCGCCCGAAGCCUUCGGGCCGAGGGCACGCCUGCCUGGGCGUCACGCAUCGCGUCGCCCCCUCCCCCCAUCGCGUGUGGGGGGGCGGGGGCGGAGAUUGGCCUCCCGUGCGCCCCCGCCGCGCGGCCGGCCCAAAUGCGAUCCCCCGGCGGCGCCCCGUCGCGACCAGUGGUGGUUGAGUCCCCGACUCGCGCGCUGUGUGGUCGCGCUCCGCGGCGUCGUCCGGACGGGCAUCGGAAACGACCCAGCCAGCGCCUCGCGCGCUUCCGACCGCGACCCCAGGUCAGGCGGGAUUACCCGCUGAGUUUAA